rnacentral:misc_RNA from 1 species
UCUCCGUAGGUGAACCUGCGGAGGGAUCAUUACAGAGUUCAUGCCCUACCGGGUAGAUCUCCCACCCUAUGUUAUUAUUACUUUGUUGCUUUGGCGGGCCGUUAGGCUCCGGCCCGACUACCGGCCCCGGCUGGUAAGCGCCCGCCAGAGGACCCAAAACCCUGAAUAUUAGUGUCGUCUGAGUACUGUAUAAUAGUUAAAACUUUUAACAACGGAUCUCUUGGUUCUG